CCAUUGAGUACUUCAAUUUUAAAGGAAUUGUAAGAAUAGGGUAUAGAAUAGAAGAUUUGAAUAUACAGAGAAAGUUCCGUGUUGACUUGAACCUGAGUAUUUGUUUUGAGUCAAAUGAACCUUGCCUGUAUGAAAUUGUCCUGUUUAAAGAUGCUCUGGUACCUAAAAUACUUUGUGAUUGGGAAGCCAACUUCUCUAUUCCAGACUUUUCUCUGGAGAAGUACACAGCAGAUGCAGGUGAAGUAAUGAACAGCUUGACAAAACCUUUUAUACAGAAACUGAUGGAAGAUCUCGGUAUAUCUAGCUACCUGAAUGAUGAUCCGUGUAACAAUACAUCAGUUGACUACACACCAAAUUAUCAGGGGUGGAAAUCAGAAUGUGAACAGACCUUGUCAUUGCCAGCUCUACCAAAUACAGCUGUGUGUGUACUAGAUGAUACUUGUACUGGUGUGAAAUGUUGUAUGGAUGUUGGAUUUCUGAAAAAAUCAUUUUCAACCUUUGUGGAGAUAGAUACCUGUAAUCACUACCUUAAGUUUGGUAUUGAGAAGCUAACUGAACAGAUUGAUCUUUUUGACUAUCAGU